AACGAACGCUGGCGGCAUGCCUAACACAUGCAAGUCGAACGAGACCUUCGGGUCUAGUGGCGCACGGGUGCGUAACGCGUGGGAAUCUGCCCUUGGGUUCGGAAUAACAGCGAGAAAUUGCUGCUAAUACCGGAUGAUGACGUAAGUCCAAAGAUUUAUCGCCCAAGGAUGAGCCCGCGUAGGAUUAGCUAGUUGGUGAGGUAAAGGCUCACCAAGGCGACGAUCCUUAGCUGGUCUGAGAGGAUGAUCAGCCACACUGGGACUGAGACACGGCCCAGACUCCUACGGGAGGCAGCAGUGGGGAAUAUUGGACAAUGGGCGAAAGCCUGAUCCAGCAAUGCCGCGUGAGUGAUGAAGGCCUUAGGGUUGUAAAGCUCUUUUACCCGGGAUGAUAAUGACAGUACCGGGAGAAUAAGCUCCGGCUAACUACGUGCCAGCAGCCGCGGUAAU
rnacentral:rRNA from 1 species